ACGGGAGGCAGCAGUGGGGAAUUUUGGACAAUGGGGGAAACCUGAUCCAGCCAUCCCGCGUGUGCGAUGAAGGCCUUCGGGUUGUAAAGCACUUUUGGCAGGAAAGAAACGGCGCAGGAUAAUACGUGCAGCUGACGGUACCCUGCAGAAUAAGCACGGCUAACUACAGUGCAGCAGCCAUGAUAAUACGUGAGGUGCAAGCGUUAAUCGGAAUUACUGGGCGUAAAGCGUGCGCAGGCGGUUCGGAAGAAGAUGUGAAAUCCCAGAGCUUAACUUUGGAACUGCAUUUUUAACUACCGAGCUAGAGUGUGUCAGAGGUGGGAUUCCGCGUGUAGCAGUGAAAUGCGUAGAUAUGCGGAGGAACACCGAUAGCGAAGGCAGCCUCCUGGGAUAACACUGACGCUCAUGCACGAAAGCGUGGGAGCAAACAGAGUUAGAUACCCUUGUAGU
rnacentral:misc_RNA from 1 species